rnacentral:rRNA from 1 species
GAUGAACGCUGGCGGCGUGCCUAAUACAUGCAAGUCGAGCGAACAGACCAGGAUCUUGCUCCUCUGACUUUAUCGCCGGACGGGUGAUUAACACGUGGAUGACCUACCUAUUAGACUUGGAUAACUUCGGGAAACCGUAGCUAAUACCGGAUAAUAUAUUGCCCCACGUUGUUCAAUAGUGAAAGACGCUUUUGCUUUCACUUAUAGCUGGCUACGCGCCGCAUUAGCUAGUUGUUAAGGUAACGGCUUAGCAACGCUACGACGCGUAACCGACCUGAAAGGGUGGUCGGCCAGACGGGAACUGAGAAACGGCCCAGACUCCUACGGUAGGAAGCAGUAGGGAAUCUUCCGCGAGGGAGGAGAGCCUAACGGAGCAAAGCCGGGGGAGUGAUGAAGGACUACGGCUCGGAAAACGCUGUAAGUAGUGAAGAACAAAUGUGUAAGUAACUAUGCAGGUAUUGACGGUACCUAGUGAGAAAGCCACGGCUAACUACGUG